GAAAUAUUUUACAGAUUAAUCAGCUAGCUUAACUAAGGUAAAAACUAUAAAACUUGAGUUUGGGAUUACCUUUGUAGAUUCUACUAUCUAGAACACGUCCAAAAAGUCUGAAAAUGCUAGAAAUGACUGUAAUAUUGAUUAUUUUCUAAGAUGGACUGUCGAGUGUCUGGAUCAGGCUGGAAAGUCAGUCCCGAGCACCGAUGAGCUAUCGUUGAUCCAAUUGCAUAUCCGAGAUGCCCAUUAGCUGGUGGUGACAAAUCCGCAAAUAGUUCAUCAAAACUCUACUUCGAUCUCUCGAUAUUGACCGAUUUAGUUUAUGCCAUCCAAUGAGUAUCUUCUCAAUCCGGCCUCCAAUCAAGGCGUGGUUGGUGUCAAAUUGAAGCUUGAGAAGAUUAGAUGAAGAUUACCAGGCCUGAUCAUCCAUUCUAGUCACUGAUUGCCAGAGAUCUAGCCGGAAAGCUUGAAAAACCAAAAACUUUUCUCCUUCAUAACUUUUUCCUCCGAUCACCAUUUGAUGCAAAAUUGAUCCCAAAAGAAAGCUCA
rnacentral:misc_RNA from 1 species